rnacentral:rRNA from 1 species
CUGUUUACCUACCCGUCCACCGUGCUUCGGCAGGCAGCCCUGUGGGACAGGGCCCCGCCCCCCCUCCGCGGGGGGUGCCUGCCGCUGGCCAACCAACCAUUCUAGCUGUUUUUGUACCAUCUGAGUCUUCCACAAAUGAACAAAACUUUCAACAACGGAUCUCUUGGUUCUGGCAUCGAUGAAGAACGCAGCGAAAUGCGAUAAGUAAUGUGAAUUGCAGAAUUCAGUGAAUCAUCGAAUCUUUGAACGCACAUUGCGCCCACUAGUAUUCUGGUGGGCAUGCCUGUUCGAGCGUCAUUUCAACCCUCAAGCCUCGGCUUGGUGUUGGGGCUCUGCGCCUGCAGGCCCUCAAAUCCAGUGGCGGACACGCUAGGUCUCCGAGCGCAGUAGUUUCUCCUCGCUCAGGACGGCCGGCGCGGGCUUGCCUCGCACCCAUCUUCCAAAGGUUGACCUCGGAUCAGGUAGGAAUACCCGCUGAACUUAAGCAUAUCAAUA